rnacentral:rRNA from 1 species
GUGGGGAAUAUUGGACAAUGGGCGAAAGCCUGAUCCAGCCAUGCCGCGUGUGUGAAGAAGGUCUUCGGAUUGUAAAGCACUUUAAGUUGGGAGGAAGGGCAGUAAGUUAAUACCUUGCUGUUUUGACGUUACCGACAGAAUAAGCACCGGCUAACUUCGUGCCAGCAGCCGCGGUAAUACGAAGGGUGCAAGCGUUAAUCGGAAUUACUGGGCGUAAAGCGCGCGUAGGUGGUUUUGUAAGUUGGAGGUGAAAUCCCCGGGCUCAACCUGGGAACUGCCUACAAAACUGCAUGACUAGAGUACGGUAGAGGGUAGUGGAAUUUCCUGUGUAGCGGUGAAAUGCGUAGAUAUAGGAAGGAACACCAGUGGCGAAGGCGACUACCUGGACUGAUACUGACACUGAGGUGCGAAAGCGUGGGGAGCAAACAGGAUUAGAUACCCCUGUAGUCC